UACGUAGGUGGCAAGCGUUAUCCGGAUUUAUUGGGCGUAAAGAGAACGCAGGCGGUCUUUUAAGUCUGAUGUGAAAGCCUUCGGCUUAACCGGAGUAGUGCAUUGGAAACUGGGAGACUUGAGUGCAGAAGAGGAGAGUGGAACUCCAUGUGUAGCGGUGGAAUGCGUAGAUAUAUGGAAGAACACCAGUGGCGAAGGCGGCUCUCUGGUCUGCAACUGACGCUGAGGCUCGAAAGCAUGGGUAGCGAACAGG
rnacentral:rRNA from 1 species